ACUGAGUAUAUAUUGCUUCUCAAAGUAUCACAAUUUAGUUUACCAUUUAAUUUACAAGAUGUGUCCUGGUCCACCAUACAGGGAUACAGGCAUUACUUCGGAAAAGAUAGAUAAAAUAACGGAGUUGGCUGUUGGAGACCAUUUGGCCAUAUAUGGCCAUUUUCAUCGACUUAAAUACUUCCAUCACGGCGUUUAUGUGAAAACAGACCCACCUACGGUUGUUGAAUUCAAUGGAGAUGGAAAAUCAAAAUCAAAAAUCAGAGCUGUAGAUCUGAACAUUUUCAGGGACAAACGAAAUUUAUAUAGAGUAAAUCAUACAACGCGCCAUUCUGGUAAAAAAACAGCUGAAGAUGCUUUGCGUAUUGCUGGAAAUAACCCCGACGAAUGGGGAAAGUAUCACAUACUAAACAAUAAUUGCGAACAUUUUGCUAGUUUUUGUGUAACAGGUAAAAAAACUUCUGAACAAAUUGCAAGAAUUAUCGAUCCACAGUUAUUACAAUUAUGUUAUGCGAAACAAUCUCCUUUAAGGAGCUGAAAAGGUGGAAUUUUGAGAUGUUAUACAUUAUGAUUUUCCUUCAAAAAGUGUGAAUCGACAUACUUUCCUUCGAUUUUCAAGAUAUCCCCGUACUUGGUGAAGUUAUAUAUCAACAGAACUGUAUUAUUGUUGGGUUUUUAUUCAAACUGCGUUGAUUUUAAAUCAAUUUCAUAAAUGAGAGUUCAUUUUUUUAAUUGUGAUUUCUAAUUUGUCAAUUGUCGUUUUGUAUAACUGUAUAGUAUUUAUACAGAAUAAACUAUUUCUUUCAAUUGUU